CGCUACAGCCACAUUAUCCUGCAGCCCAUGACUGGUUACUCGCUGAAGGUAAGCAGGGCUGAGCCUGGUUAGUCCUGGAUGUGAGACCACAUUGAAAAACUAGGUUUCUAUUGGAA
rnacentral:rRNA from 1 species